GCUGAGGGUUGCUGCAUGGCGAUGCGUUUGAAGGUGUAAUUCAGGAAGAAUUGUUCUCCGGCCGUUAACGUUAGACGGAGCAAAAUAUUGGACAUAAUGGGAUAAGUUUCAUAAUAAAGAGAACCACGGAUGGAUUGAGUUUGAAGGUUCCUUGACGGACUCUCCCAAAAACAAUAGAGGCAAAAUUCCAGCUCAUGAAAUCAAUUUAGUGGGUUUGGCUAAUACUGAAAGAGAACAGAACAGAAUGAGAUGGAAAAAAAUAGAGAGAAAACAAGUAGAAUGGAAUGGAAACUAUCCCCAGGUGUCAUGCAAUAACCCUAAGAACUGUACCUUCCUAUUGUGCUAUUCAGUGUUCACAAAAAGCUGAAAAAAUGAAGUGACUGCAGAAAGCAGUCAACUUGACUGCA